rnacentral:rRNA from 1 species
CCUACGGGUGGCAGCAGUCGAGAAUCAUUCACAAUGGGGGAAACCCUGAUGGUGCGACGCCGCGUGGGGGAAUGAAGGUCUUCGGAUUGUAAACCCCUGUCAUGUGGGAGCAACUCACAAAGAUAGUACCACAAGAGGAAGAGACGGCUAACUCUGUGCCAGCAGCCGCGGUAAUACAGAGGGCUCAAGCGUUGUUCGGAAUCACUGGGCGUAAAGCGUGCGUAGGCUGUGUCGUAAGUCGUGUGUGAAAGGCGCGGGCUCAACCCGCGGACGGCACUUGAUACUGCGAGACUAGAGUAAUGGAGGGGGAGCCGGAAUUCGCGGUGUAGCAGUGAAAGGCGUAGAUAUCGAGAGGAACAC